GUGCUCGCCUUGACAGUACAUAUACUAAAAUUGGAACUAUACAGAAAAGAUUAGUUUGGCCCCUGUGCAAGGUUGCCACGCAAAUUCAUGAAGUAACUCCGCAUUAA